UACGUAGGGACCGAGCGUUGUCCGGAUUCAUUGGGCGUAAAGAGCUCGUAGGCGGCUACUCAAGUCGGACGUGAAAACUCGGAGCUCAACUCCGAGCCUGCGUUCGAUACUGGAUGGCUAGAGUCUGGUAGGGGGAUCUGGAAUUCCUGGUGUAGCGGUGGAAUGCGCAGAUAUCAGGAGGAACACCGGUGGCGAAGGCGGGAUCCUGGGCCAGUACUGACGCUGAUGAGCGAAAGCGUGGGGAGCAAACAGG
rnacentral:rRNA from 1 species